rnacentral:misc_RNA from 1 species
UCGAAACCCGCCUCGAGCAGACUUGCGAACUUGUUCAUGCCUGAUGGGGUGCCCGGUCCUUCGAUCGGCAACCCGUCACCUGACUGUCCUCGCGCAAACAUGUGUGGCUGUCGGGUCCAACGAACCCACGACGCGGCAUGCGUCAAGGAUAACAUCAGCGGAGCGACGCCCUCGUUACGCACCCAUUUGUGGCGUGCUGUUCUAGUGGCGGCUGACUCUCGUAAUUGAGUACUGAAAAAAAU